GGAAGUUGUCAGUACCCACGGUGAAGGCGUUCUCUGCUUUGCCAUGCUUGUUCCGCACCAGGGCCUGGCGGCACUCCAGACAAAACAUCAGCUUCCGCUCAUAGUCAAAGUCCAGCCAGGGACAAGAUCAGAUGCUGAGCCUUGGACUUCAAUGCCUCAGGCACGGAAUUCUUCUGCAUAACCACUAUGUAAUCUCCUCAGCCCAUAAGAUGGAAUUCUGAAAUCACACUGUCCCAUAUGGAUGCUACUGACCAUGUAACUGUUUCAUGAAAAUCAAAUAAAACAUUUAAAAUUCA